rnacentral:rRNA from 1 species
CCUACGGGGGGCAGCAGUGGGGAAUAUUGGACAAUGGGGGCAACCCUGAUCCAGCCAUGCCGCGUGUGUGAAGAAGGCCCUCGGGUUGUAAAGCACUUUCAGUGAGGAAGAACGCCUGGUGGUUAAUACCCAUCAGGAAAGACAUCACUCACAGAAGAAGCACCGGCUAACUCCGUGCCAGCAGCCGCGGUAAUACGGAGGGUGCGAGCGUUAAUCGGAAUUACUGGGCGUAAAGCGCGCGUAGGUGGCUUGAUAAGCCGGUUGUGAAAGCCCCGGGCUCAACCUGGGAACGGCAUCCGGAACUGUCAAGCUAGAGUGCAGGAGAGGAAGGUAGAAUUCCCGGUGUAGCGGUGAAAUGCGUAGAGAUCGGGAGGAAUACCAGUGGCGAAGGCGGCCUUCUGGAGUGACACUGACACUGAGGUGCGAAAGCGUGGGUAGCAAACAGGAUUAGAUACCCUAGUAGUC